rnacentral:lncRNA from 1 species
AUUUUUUUCAUGGCUAUUUUAUUUUUGCGAUUUUGGCAUAUCUAACUUUAAAAAAAAACUAUAAUUAAAUGAGUGACUACUUUAACCACCAAAAUGUUAUAUUCAUUGUAAUAUACGUAUUAUUGACAUGUUUAACCCUACUGCAUGAUGCCUCCAGCCAUCGACAACCACAACCUCCGGCCAUCGACCACCAAUACCUCCAACCAUCAGCUGCCACUGCCACCACCACCAUAUUUGGCCACCGCCCCCACAACCACGACCACCUCUGACACCACGAGCCACCAUCGCCUCCAGCCACCGGUCACCACCGCCUACGGCCAACAACCACCUCUAGCCAUCACCCACCAUUAUCACCCAAACACCACAACACUAAAAUGGUAAUAUUUUAUACCCAUAAUCCUGUUUUUCUAAUUUUUUAAUUAAUAUGUUAUAAUCUUCAUACCCUUUUUCUUGUUUUGGUUAGUUGGUAAAUUGGUCCUAUAUUUUUUGGAUUUGAAGAAUAAGGUUGCGAAAAUAGAGUUUUAGAGACUAUCAUUUGCUUUCUGACUCUCCAACAGCCCAGCGUGCAGAAUAUCUGAAACAUUUUAAUUUUUUGGAUAUUUAACUACGGAACUAAGUUAGAGAAUCUCCAAC